rnacentral:other from 1 species
AGCGGGUUGCUGCAAAGGAGGCCCUAAGUUCAUCCUACAAUUUGUUCAACCGGGGAACCGCCCCUAGCUGCAGGUGUGCAGGCUCGUCCGACGAGAAGCCCGAAGCAGCAACCGUGGUGCCCACCUACGCAUGUAGGGGUUGAGCUGCCGGCGCUCGGCAGCGGCCCGCUC